UGCCCACUGGCCCAGUUGGUUAAGGCGUCUGACUGUUAACUCAGUAACAGAAUAUCAGAAGAUCCCUGGUUCGAGCCCAGGGUGGGCAG